CCCCUCUCAGGGUCACACCUGGAGAGUGUCCAGUACUCUACCAGUCUCAGCAAUGGGAGGAAGAGUCAAGCAGAGGCAUAUCCAUUCCAUUCCUACUUUGGGCAGUGGCUAGCAAGUGGAAGGUGAUCUGCUACAAAU